rnacentral:rRNA from 1 species
CAGUAGCCGCGGGAAUACAGAGGGUGCGAGCGUUAAUCGGAAUUACUGGGCGUAAAGGGCGCGUAGGCGGUUAGGAAGGUGUGAUGUGAAAGCCCUGGGCCUAACCUAGGAAGUGCAUCGCAAACCAACUAGCUGGAGUAUAAGAGAGGGUGGCGGAAUUUCCGGUGUAGCGGUGAAAUGCGUAGAGAUCGGAAGGAACGUCAAUGGCGAAGGCAGCCACCUGGCUUAAUACUGACGCUGAGGCGCGAAAGCGUGGGGAGCGAACAGGAUUAGAUACCCCGGUAGUCCCUGUCUCUUAUAC